rnacentral:rRNA from 1 species
GACGAACGCUGGCGGCGUGCUUAACACAUGCAAGUCGAACGGAAAGACCCUGCUUUUGUGGGGUGCUCGAGUGGCGAACGGGUGAGUAACACGUGAGUAACCUGCCCUUGACUUUGGGAUAACUUCAGGAAACUGGGGCUAAUACCGGAUAGGAGCUCCUGCUGCAUGGUGGGGGUUGGAAAGUUUCGGCGGUUGGGGAUGGACUCGCGGCUUAUCAGCUUGUUGGUGGGGUAGUGGCUUACCAAGGCUUUGACGGGUAGCCGGCCUGAGAGGGUGACCGGCCACAUUAGGACUGAGAUACGGCCCAGACUCCUACGGGAGGCAGCAGUGGGGAAUAUUGCCCAAUGGGCGGAAGCCUGAUGCAGCAACGCCGCGUGCGGGAUGACGGCCUUCGGGUUGUAAACCGCUUUCGCCUGUGACGAAGCGUGAGUGACGGUAAUGGGUAAAGAAGCACCGGCUAACUACGUG